AAAACGUUGGCCCUCCCCCCCGGGGGAGGGAGGAGGGAGGGAGAGAGAGAAAGAGAGAGAGAGAAGGGAGGAGGUUGUGGUUUGAGAGUAAAGGACUAAAGCAAAGGAAAAGAAUAUAUGUAAGUCCACGAAAAGAUAGAAUGAAAAGAGAGAUGUCUCCCUCCCCUUCUUUCUCUCUCCAUGGUUGAGAAAGAGCUUGGCAUGUGUAAGAAAGGUAACCUUGGACCUCCACUCUUGACGCGGAAAAACACCUGCCAGCAAUCAUCAUGGUGUCCUCUUAUAACCUCUUUAUCUCAUCAUUAAUCCCUCACUUUCAUCAUCAUCAGACCACCACCACCACCACCUCUUGUUACCAUUCACAAACCCAACAAAGACCCUUAAAAACUUCAAAGGUCAGAACUAAAAAGAGAAAGAAGAAAAGAGAGACGGGUCAGAGGUGAAGAUGAUCCAUGAUGAUGAGUUCACCAGGGAAGAAGAAAAGAAACCCUAUUUUCUACAUCCAGCUUGGCGAUGAAUGAAAGCUUGGCUGAAACAACAUGUAUACCUCUGUUUCUUGUUCUUCUUCUUGUCUACUCUUCUCUCUCACCUAUUGGGAAUGGAAGCGAAUCGGUCCGACUGUUUGCCAGAUCUGUGUACAAGUUUAAUGAAUUUGAAUCGAUCAAAGAUGUUUGAGGUAGGUAUAGGUUUGCUUGGAUAGAGAUGACUGAAGCAGAUGGUUUAAUAAUGCUAUAGCAUGUGAAUUGUUGCUUUUAGUUUUAAGAUAAUGCCCAUGGUUUCCCUUGUGUUAUUUUGGUGUGAUUUUUGCUAAAAAAAAAAAAUCAUUGGUGCAACGUAAUAAAAGCAUCAAAGAGUUGGAGUUUUGCUUAUACGUUUAUGAAAUAAAUUAUUUGUAUUUGAAGUUUCAGUUUGAGGGAAUA